rnacentral:lncRNA from 1 species
GAUGUUUUAGAGGGAUUUUGGGGAGAUGUUUAGAGUUAUGUUAGAAUGGUUUGGUACCUCAUUUGAGUCCACCUGUGUAGGAUUGGACCCGAGGAACCGAGGAGGCCCUAGAGUUAGAGUUGGCCCAGAGUUAGCCAGCAGUGGCAGGUGAGUGGAACUAGACCCUAUGUUUUUAAGUGAAUGUUUUAGCAUGUUCCAUGCAUCAUAAUAUCAUGUUAUAGUAGGGUGUCUUGCAUUAGCAAUCACGAAGAUGAUGCAUUGCAUAUUAUGUUGAUGAUGUGGAUGGACCAAGGCAACCCCAAUAGCCCGACAAUGUAUGUUUUAGAAGUCCUGAGGAGCCCCCUGAGGGCCGGGCACAGUGCAUGUUAUAGAAGUCCUGAGGAGCUCCUUUGAGGGCCGGGCACAGAGUAGAGGGAGUUUUGGUGGUCAUGUCCAUCCGAGAUGUGAGUAGUUGUG